rnacentral:rRNA from 1 species
GACGAACGCUGGCGGCGUGCUUAACACAUGCAAGUCGAACGGAAAGGCCCUGCUUUUGUGGGGUGCUCGAGUGGCGAACGGGUGAGUAACACGUAAGUAACCUGCCCUUGACUUUGGGAUAACUUCAGGAAACUGGGGCUAAUACCGGAUAGGAGCUCCUGCUGCAUGGUGGGGGUUGGAAAGUUUCGGCGGUUGGGGAUGGACUCGCGGCUUAUCAGCUUGUUGGUGGGGUAGUGGCUUACCAAGGCUUUGACGGGUAGCCGGCCUGAGAGGGUGACCGGCCACAUUGGUACUGAGAUACGGCCCAGACUCCUACGGGAGGCAGCAGUGGGGAAUAUUGCACAAUGGGCGGAAGCCUGAUGCAGCAACGCCGCGUGCGGGAUGACGGCCUUCGGGUUGUAAACCGCUUUCGCCUGUGACGAAGCGUGAGUGACGGUAAUGGGUAAAGAAGCACCGGCUAACUACGUG